UAAUAAGCAAUCCCUUAUGAAACAGAUUAUAUUUCUAGCAGCUUAUGACGUUGAACUCUUUCCUAAAGCCAAGCCAAGAUUAUCACCUGAUAGAACAGAGAGUCCAAACUGAUUUAUCAGCCACUGCUCAUGAGGAUCUGUUGAAAUCUUUCCUGUUGAUUCCAUUUUUAGCAGACAUGUUGCAUCCAGCCAUGAUCGGGGUCUUGGUGUUUAACAUCGUAUUAAUCGUGAUCGAGUGGACGUAUAUCAUAAGCGAGAUAAUGAGAGUGGAUGACUGAAAACAAGGUUGCUUCACAAUAGCAGCCUACAAUCAGGCUUUAGAUCAGAUGGGUUAGAUCACUUUACAGAGCUCUCUAAAGCUUUAACAUAAUUCGAAAUGUGCUUCAAGGAUUGUAUCAAGAAUGAGCCUUUGUACCUAAAUUGGUGGAUGACCAAAUAAAGAUGAAGAUAACACAGACGAUGGAAAGAAGGCAGGCGGAUGAGUGAAGAAAUAUAAACUGGAUUAUAGGCUUACACGGAGGUUCCACAUCUACAAAACCAACAUGGCAGCCAUUCUGAAUUUUUCCAAAUAAAUCUUGUUUUUGUUAUGGAUUAUCAAUUGCAGUACCAGUAUUUACAUUACUAUGGGUUAAUAAUAAAUGAAAUACAAGCUGAUUCUUUCUUUUUUCCACAACCAUUUUAUAUAUGAAACAUCUGAAUGUUGCAAUAAGUGCCAUUUCUUGGUAAAAACAUUUUUCAGACGUGUAGAAAGUGAAAUACAGCUCUAAUUAUGGCUUCAGAAAGUAAAAUAUGCUUAAAAAAUAUCAAAUGUUUUCUAUUGUCCAGUGCAGAUAUUCAUAACUUUGAGCUAUAGUACAAGUAACUCACUGUAAAUGAUUUAUAUUACAAUGGAUUUAAAUCUGCAAUACUCAGUUCUAAACUGUUCUGUACUGUUCUGUAAAACGCUCAUUCUCGAAACUGCUAUAAUUUGUUGCACUCCAUAGAGCAUUAAGAUUUAUGUAAUUAACCUUCACGUCUGUGUGAAAAUGGUUGACUAUGUACCACAUACUAGAUUAUGUUCCUUAGUAAACAUAUACUCUGACUCAUCA